CACUAGAAGAAAUGAUUUUUAGCAAUACCUGCCCAGUGCGACAUAUUACUGUAAACGGCCGCCCUAGCGUGAGGGUGCUAAGGUAGCGAAAUUCCUUGCCUUUUAAUUGUAGGCCUGCAUGAAUGGUUUAACGAGGGUUAAGCUGUCUCUAAGUUUAUAAGUUGAAAUUGUAUUAAAGGUGAAGAUACCUUUAUUUUGAAGUUAGACAAAAAGACCCCGUGCAACUUUGAAAAUUAGCUUUAUUAAAAGGUGAGAGAUUUUUAGGUGGGGCGCCUAGAGAGCUAGUUCUAACCUCUUUUAUUGAGUUAUUAAAACUUUCAAGUCUUGACCCGGUUACACCCGAUCAUAGGAGAAGUUACGCCGGGGAUAACAGGCUAAUCCUUUAGUAGAGCUCGUAUUGGCUAAAGGGAUUGGCACCUCGAUGUUGAAUCAGGGAUGAUACCUUUGAGGCGUAGAGGCUUCGAGAGUGGGUCUGUUCGACCUUUAAUACCCU
rnacentral:rRNA from 1 species